rnacentral:rRNA from 1 species
UACGUAGGGUGCGAGCGUUAAUCGGAAUUACUGGGCGUAAAGCGUGCGCAGGCGGUUUUGUAAGCCAGAUGUGAAAUCCCCGGGCUCAACCUGGGAAUGGCAUUUGGGACUGCAAGGCUGGAGUACGGCAGAGGAGACUGGAAUUCCUGGUGUAGCAGUGAAAUGCGUAGAGAUCAGGAGGAAUACCGAUGGCGAAGGCAGGUCUCUGGGCUGAUGACUGACGCUCAUGCACGAAAGCGUGGGGAGCGAACAGG